AUUGAACGCUAGCGGCAGGCCUAACACAUGCAAGUCGAACGAGUGGCGGUCGGGUGACUAAUGUCUGGGAAUGUGCCCGAUGGAGGGGGAUAACUACUGUAAACGGUAGCUAAUACCGCCUGACCUCAGAUGUGCCCGGUUGGGAUUAGCUAGUUGUGGGGGUAACGGCCCACCAAGGCGACGAGCCCUAGCUGGUCUGAGAGGAUGACGAGCCACACUGUAACGUGGACACGGUCCAGACUCCGACGGGAGGCAGCAGUGGGGAAUAUUGCACAAUGGGCGCAAGCCUGAUACAGCCAUGCCGCGUGUAUGAAGAAGGUCUUCGGGUUGUAAAGUACUUUCAGCGGUGAGGCGUUACCCGCAGAAGAAGCACCGGCUAACUCCGUGCCAGCAGCCGCGGUAAUAC
rnacentral:rRNA from 1 species